AGAGUUUGAUCAUGGCUCAGAAUCAACGCUGGCGGCGUGCCUCAGACAUGCAAGUCGAACGAUUAAGACUCCCUUCGGGGAGUGUAUAAAGUGGCGCACGGGUGAGUAACACGUAAGUAAUCUACCUUCGAGUGGGGAAUAACAUCGGGAAACCGAUGCUAAUACCGCAUAACGCAGCGGCACCUAAUGGUGACAGUUGUUAAAGGAGCAAUUCGCUUGAAGAGGAGCUUGCGGCAGAUUAGCUAGUUGGUAAGGUAAUGGCUUACCAAGGCCUCGAUCUGUAUCCGGUCUAAGAGGACGGUCGGACACACUGACACUGAAUAACGGGUCAGACUCCUACGGGAGGCAGCAGUCGGGAAUUUUGGGCAAUGGGCGAAAGCCUGACCCAG
rnacentral:rRNA from 1 species